AAGUCCCAGAUUUCAAACAGCCAACUCAUGCAAUGAGCACAGGACCUGGUACCACUGCCUAGAUGCCUCCCAAACAGAUCAAGCCAAUCAACUGUCUCACCUAUUCAGAGGGCCUGAGAGGAUCAGUAUCUUGAUACACUUGGAGCCCAUUUAGAAAGAUGGGCCACAAAUAAUGAUUAAGGGUUUGGAGCUGGGAAGUGGCUCCCUUGCUAAAAAUGAAUUCUACACAAGUUUAAGGACUUGAAUUGAGAUCCUUAGCAAUCUCAUUUUUUUUUAAAAAAAGAUGGACACUAGCCUGUAAUAGUAAAUAGUAAAGAUGAGCCCAGAUCUUAUCGACGAAACAGGAAGACCCAUGGAGCUUUCUAACCAGCUGCUGUAUCAAUGAGCUCCAUGUUCAGUAAGAGAUUCCAAAAAAUCUGAACGGUUAGGAAGAUGAAUAAAAGUUAAGUGAUCAAUGCACAAGUAUAAGGACCCACAUAAAAAAUCUAGGCAGGCAUGGAGCCUCCUACAAUCCUAACCCUUGAGAGGCAGAGACAGGACCACCAUUGGCUAAGCUAGCCAGCCAGAUAAGCUGAAUAGACAACUUCCAGAUUCAGUAAGAGAUAGAAAAUGCCCAAUAGCAACCUCUGGUCAGCAUGCGUAUACAACUCAAGCUUCAUCAAAGGUAGCCUUUGAAGGAACUCGGGCCAGAGAGGUUUCUCUGGAAAGGAUUAUUUGUAAACUAGUUGGGCUCAGAGUGUGUGGGCGCAUUAAUGUAACUGGUAGGGAAUCCUCUGGGAUCUCAGUGAAACAUUAAAGUACAGGCAACAGGUGUCUAGUAUGGGAAUGUCCUAAAAGCACCGUAAUAUGAAAUAAACACCAGAAAGGGUAGUGUCACUAUGAACUAGAACAUGGCUAAUAAGGCAUUAAGACACUUUGAUCCUUAGUUUGUGUAUAACGUGACAAAAAUGAGGUAGUUGGUUUAAUGUCAACUUGGAUUGUUUGGUCGUGUGACGGAAUUUUCCUCCAUGGGAAUUGGAAGCACACUUCGGGUACAAAUCUUCCCCUCCUGUGUAGUGCACUCGCCUGUGAGGCCACGUGCGGUUAGAGCACUUCAGUUACUAGACUAAUGCUCAGACAGUUGAUGUCUCACAACGAUGAGUUCUUGGGAAGCAGUGAAACAGUUCUCUUUUGGGGGGGAUUUCACAUCAUGCACCCCAGUCCCACUCAUCUCCAAGGCCCUUCGCAUCUGCCCCUUCCUCCUGUAGUGCCCGCCACCCCCAGGAGGAAAGCUAAAAAAUAUUUUUUAAAAGAUAAACAAGAAAAGAAAAACACUUGGUUCCUCUGCCUUUCCCGCCUCUCCAUUGCCUCUCCCUUCACCUUACUGGCAUUGGGAGCUGCUGUGUAUCCCGCAGUAGACCAUUUUGUCUAACCUGCUUCACUUGCAAAUGUACAGUGUGUAAUGAGUUGCUAGUCAGAUUCAAGACCUCUGGCUUUGGUACACCAUCAGUACUGGACCCCCACCGACAUUCCUCCCCCAUCCCCUGCUGUUGUCUGGAGUGAUGGAGAUGCUGCACUAUGGUUCCACAGGAUCAGUCCCUUCGCGCUCCAGCAGGCCAUAGAUGGAGUUAGGUGUUGGGGUGUGCCAACUCCAAGCUGCAUGUGUUCCGGGGUAGCAGCUGAGCUGUUUGCAUCAGGAGGCUGGGACCACUCCACUCAGCAUUCUCAUGGACCCCUGUGGUAACAGGCAGUGGAUAUCCACACAAACGUCAGCUGCUGCAGGACGGCGACCCAGACAUGGCAGCAGCUUGAGGCUGGAUGUCACCAUGGCCCCAGGUGGCAGUGCAGGCCUCUCAGAUCCGGAUGGGCCCAGCAGCAGCGUGGCCCCAGGGCUUUCCAAACUGGCCCCAUGUGAUGAUUCAGACCCUGUCCAGUACUGUGCGUGUCCUCUCCCCUCCCCCCCCCCGCCACACACACACACACACACACACACACACACACACACACACACGGCAACAGGAACAACGGACUUUAACACAGACUCUAGCUGUGGCAGGGCCACGGACACAAUGGUCCCCAGCCAAAGCUCGGGCAUGGAUGUGUCCAUGGCCCCGGGUAGCUGCACAAUCCACGCUGAUCUCUAUGGCCCCAGUGGCAGCGUGACACUCGGGCACCAACAUAGCCUGGUAUAAACUUGAGAGUCACAGCACAAAAGGGGGGGAAAGGAUUGAUGAAAUCUUCCAAUAAAUUAAAAACAAAAUACUUCUAAUGUGUCCAUAACCAAAGGAUACUACAUUGUGACUGGAAAGCAAUGAGUAUUCUUGUAAGGAAAUUUAGCUAAGUACUAUACUGCAUUAGCAUUUUAGACAGGAAAAGCAUGACCCUCCAUAAAUGCCUCUUGCAUAUGAUAAAACUUAGUGCCCAGUCCUGAUUCUAAAGGCAGCCUCUCCAAUCAACAGAGCAAAACCAAAUUACUCUAGAAAAGAUGCUGAGGCAAUCGGAUAAUCAGGUAGAGGGAAGAAGUUAAUUGGACCCGUACUUUAUACCAUACACCAAGUCAAAGUUGGGUCAAAGAUUCAGAAUUUAUGUCUAUAGCUUGUUUCAAAUCAAAGUCAUUUAAGAAUUUUAGGUAAAACUAGGAAUCCAUAUAAUAAAUGAACUUUAGUUUCAUAAAAAUCAUGGUUUCUUACAUGGCUUAACCAAGUCAAAUCAACCACAGAAGAAAACAUUUGCAAUGUAAUUAACAGAUGGCUACUUUCCCUAAAACCAAAUAAGAUUCUAUGGCUGAAAACUGAAGUUUCUUUGACACCUAAAUCUCUUACAAGGAGAACCUUACAUGUCUUGGACUAAUUGGACUUAAUUGAGAAAUAAACACUUCUUGUUUAUGUCAUUGCUA